AUUAUUUAAUCCGUAUUUUAAUUUAUAUUUUGUAGUUAUAUUUCAUGUUGAAAGGCUGGUCCUUGCAUUUUUUUUAAUAUCUAUAUUUUUUCUCUUGCCUGUGAUAUAAUUGUUUAAUAUAUGCAGUGUUUUAUUUACAUUUAACUUUGCCCAACCCUCGGUAAAUACAAUGUUCAACAAUUUCUAGGAUUUUAAAGAAAAGAUUAUUUGUACUACAGAAUUUGUAUUGUUGUAUGAAAUUGGCUUAUACAUGUACCAACUUUCUUUUUGUGAAUCCUUUGGCAUUCAAGUUACAUGUUAUGUUUUAUAAUACAUUUUCAAGAGCUGCGGGCUUAUAUGUUAGCUGUUCUAAUCAGAAUUUUUAAUUUCACAUUUUCAUCACCUUCUCUUGAACUACAUGUCAAAUCUAAACCAAAUCUAAUAAAAAAAAAUACAUUUUACGGGGGGGGGGGGGGGGGGCUUUCAAGUUUGUUGAAUUAACUGACCCAUCUUUUUCUACGAAAAAUGUUUCAAAUUUCAUUACCAUUGCUACUAGGUCCAGAUGAAGAUCACAAUUCGGAAAUGGGGUGUCCGUUUCAGAAAACAAGUAGAAAUUCUUCAAAGAUUGGAGAUUAAUAUUUUUUAUAGGAAAAACAGAACAACUUUAAGGCCCGAAAGGGUGUGUGUUCCCGUUUGUGAAUUCGAGCAAAUCAACACGAAAAUAAAUUUUUCCAUCAGAGAAUCAAAGUAAAUAUUUAAUUUGGUCAUUUAGUGUUGAUUUGACUGUAGGUUUGGACUUUUUAAUUUUUUAUUUAAUGUGAUUUUUUUUAUAUUGUCAGUAUAAGUAUGUAUAUGAUUAUGUUAAUCAUCUUCCAGAUCCUAUCUAAUGUGCAAUGACUUAUAAUAAUUAUAAUAAAACUGUUCUAUUUCUUACAGAAUAAAAAUCUAUAAUUAAUUAU
rnacentral:sRNA from 1 species